GAUGAAGAACGCAGCGAAAUGCGAUAAGUAAUGUGAAUUGCAGAAUUCAGUGAAUCAUCGAAUCUUUGAACGCAUCUUGCGCUCCUUGGUAUUCUGAGGAGCAUGCCUGUUUGAGUGUCAUUAAAUUCUCAACUACACUGACUUUGAAUUGGUGUGGCUUGGAUUUGGGGGGAAAAUUGUUGUGGGCUUUUUGUAUAGUCUGCUCCCCUGAAAUUGAUUAGCGGUACCUUUGUGGAACUGUCUUCAGGUGUGAUAAUUAUCUACAUCUUAGACAUCUGCUGGAAUGCUGCUUUCUAAACCUUACUUGUAUUGACAAUCUUGACCUCAAAUCAGGUAGGACUACCCGCUGAACUUAAGCAUAUCAAUAAGCGGAGGA
rnacentral:misc_RNA from 1 species